GACGAACGCUGGCGGCGUGCCUAAUACAUGCCAGUAGAACGCACAGUUUAUACCGUAGCUUGCUACACCAUAGACUGUGAGUUGCGAACGGGUGAGUAACGCGUAGGUAACCUGCCUGGUAGCGGGGGAUAACUAUUGGAAACGAUAGCUAAUACCGCAUAAUAUUAAUUAUUGCAUGAUAAUUGAUUGAAAGAUGCAACUGCAUCACUACCAGAUGGACCUGCGUUGUAUUAGCUAGUAGGUGAGGUAACGGCUCACCUAGGCGACGAUACAUAGCCGACCUGAGAGGGUGAUCGGCCACACUGGGACUGAGACACGGCCCAGACGCCUACGGGAGGCAGCAGAAGGGAAUCUUCGGCAAUGGACGAAAGUCUGACCGAGAAACGCCGCGUGAGUGAAGAAGGGUUUCGGAUCGUAAAGCUCGGUUGUAAGAGAAGAACGGGUGUGAGAGUGGAAAGUUCACACUGUGACGGUAUCUUACCAGAAAGGGACGGCUAACUACGUG
rnacentral:rRNA from 1 species